rnacentral:rRNA from 1 species
UACGGAGGAUCCGAGCGUUAUCCGGAUUUAUUGGGUUUAAAGGGUGCGUAGGCGGCCUAUUAAGUCAGGGGUGAAAGACGGUAGCUUAACUAUCGCAGUGCCUUUGAUACUGAUGGGCUUGAAUACACUAGAGGUAGGCGGAAUGUGACAAGUAGCGGUGAAAUGCAUAGAUAUGUCACAGAACACCAAUUGCGAAGGCAGCUUACUAUGGUGCAAUUGACGCUGAGGCACGAAAGCGUGGGGAU